AAUCUUAUAUUCAUUGAAUGAUGUUAAAUUGCAAAUUUAAAGGUAUAUGGUAUUAUUAAGAUUU
rnacentral:tRNA from 1 species